GACCGCCUCGACGGUACGGAGGCCGGCCGA
rnacentral:sRNA from 1 species